rnacentral:misc_RNA from 1 species
UUACCUCAACCGCAAGGAGGGGGAUGCCUAAGGCAGGGCUAGUGACUGGGGUGAAGUCGUAACAAGGUAGCCGUACCGGAAGGUGUGGCUGGAUCACCUCCUUAAAGGGAGACCUAAUUCAGGUAGGAGACGAAAAAAAAGUAGUCCCUACCAAGAAUCAAUCCCAAAAGGUCGGAGCGAGGCGAAAUUGGCUUUCAAACUAGGUUCUGGGUUCACACAAGACCUGAAUCAGGAACAAGGGCUAUUAGCUCAGGUGGUUAGAGCGCACCCCUGAUAAGGGUGAGGUCCCUGGUUCGAGUCCAGGAUGGCCCACCUGUACAGGUGGCAAAAACAAAGAAAAGAAGCUCCGAAUCAGCACCUUAUCUUAUUUAUAUAGUAAGAGAGAAUGCUGGCUCUGAGUAAAGAGUCCAGAGGAACCUUGAAAACUGCAUAGAGCUAGGUGAAAAAGCCAAAAAAGAAGACCGCAA